GAUGAAGAACGUAGCGAAAUGCGAUAAGUAAUGUGAAUUGCAGAAUUCAGUGAAUCAUCGAAUCUUUGAACGCACAUUGCGCCCGCCAGUAUUCUGGCGGGCAUGCCUGUUCGAGCGUCAUUACAACCCUCAGGCCCCCGGGCCUGGCGUUGGGGAUCGGCGGAGCCCCCCGUGGGCACACGCCGUCCCCCAAAUACAGUGGCGGUCCCGCCGCAGCUUCCAUCGCGUAGUAGCUAACACCUCGCGACUGGAGAGCGGCGCGGCCACGCCGUAAAACACCCAACUCUUCUGAAGUUGACCUCGAAUCAGGUAGGAAUACCCGCUGGACUUAAGCAUAUCAAUAAGCGGAGGA
rnacentral:misc_RNA from 1 species